rnacentral:rRNA from 1 species
AGUGAACGCUGGCGGUAGGCCUAACACAUGCAAGUCGAACGGCAGCACAGUAAGAGCUUGCUCUUACGGGUGGCGAGUGGCGGACGGGUGAGGAAUACAUCGGAAUCUACUUUUUCGGGGGGGAUAACGUAGGGAAACAUACGCUAAUACCGCAUACGACCUACGGGUGAAAGCAGGGGAGCUUCGGACCUUGCGCGAUUGAAUGAGCCGAUGUCGGAUUAGCUAGUUGGCGGGGUAAAGGCCCACCAAGGCGACGAUCCGUAGCUGGUCUGAGAGGAUGAUCGGCCACACUGGAACUGAGACACGGUCCAGACUCCUACGGGAGGCAGCAGUGGGGAAUAUUGCACAAUGGGCGCAAGCCUGAUCCAGCCAUGCCGCGUGGGUGAUGAAGGCCUUCGGGUUGUAAAGCCCUUUUGUUGGGAAAGAAAAGCAGCAGGUUAAUCCCCCGCUGUUCUGACGGUACCCAAAGAAUAAGCACCGGCUAACUUCGUG